rnacentral:lncRNA from 1 species
UACAAUCGCCACUUCACACAAUUACAAGAAUAAAGCAUUACAUCAACCAGAUACAAUCAAGGUCCGACUACGGAACCAAAAUAAAAGAAGAACCCCAAAUGCGACAAAGGUCCCCGAUCGACCCCAACUGGGCUCCACUACUGACCAACUAGAACGAAACAACACAAAGGGCAAGAUCUUCAUCGAGCUCCUCCUUGAGCUUGGUUGCAUCAUCUGCACGGUAACAUAGGCACCUGCAAACUGGUUAUGGAAGUAUCUGUGAGCCACAGGGACUCAGCAAUCUCGCACCCGCGAGAUCAAGACUAUUUAAGCUUAUAGGAAGGAUGGAGUAAUGAGGUGGAGCUGCAGCAAGCGACUAGCAUAUAUGGUGGCUAACAUACGCAAAUGAGAGCGAGAAGAGAGGGCAAAGCACGAUCGAUAAAAGUAUGAUCAAGAAGUGAUCCUGGACUACCUACGUCAAGCAUAACUCCAACACCGUGUUCACUUCCCGGACUCCGCCGGAAAGAGACCAUCACGGUUACACACACGGUUAAUGUAUUUUAAUUAAGGUCAACUUCGGGUUUUCUACAACCGGACGUUAACAAAUUCCCAUCUGCCACAUAACCGCGGGCACGGCUUUCGAAAGAUAAUACCCUGCAGGGGUGUCCCAACUUAGCCCAUCACAAGCUCUCGCGGUCAACGAAGGAAUAGACCUCCACCCGAGACAUUCCGAUCAGACUCGGUAUCCCGGUACAACAAGACAUUUCGACAGGGUAAAACUAAACCAGCAACACCGCCCGAAUGUGCCGACAAAUCCCGAUAGGAGCUGCACAUAUCUCUUUCUCAGGGCACACUCAGAUGAGACUAGCUACGAGUAAAACCAACCCUCAAGUUUCCCCGAGGUGGCCCCGCAGGCAGCUCAGUUCGGACCAACACUCAGAGGAGCACUGGCCCGGGGGGGUUAAAAUAAAGAUGACCCUCGGGCUGGCCGACCCAAGGGAAAGAAAAGGCUAGGUGGCGAAUGGUAAAACCAAUGUUGGGCAUUGCUGGAAGAGCUUUACUUAAGGCGAACUGUCAAGGGGUUCCCAUUAUAGCCCAACCGCGUAAGGGACGCAAAAUCCGGGAACAUAACACCGAUAUGACGGAAACUAGGGCGGCAAGAGUGGAACAAAACACCAGGCAUAAGGCCGAGCCUUCCACCCUUUACCAAGUAUAUAGAUGCAUUAAUUAAGUAAGAUAUAUUGUGAUAUCCCAACAAGUAAAUAAAUGUCCCGACAAGGAACGGCCUCCAAUCUUCACCUGCAACUAACAACGCUAUAAGAGGGGCUGAGCAAAGCGGGAACAUAGCCAAUCAACGGUUUGCUAGGACAUGGUGGGUUAGAGGUUUGACAUGGCAUUUUGGGAGGCUGACAAGCAAAUGUAGGCAUCGUAGCAUUGGCAUGGCAAAAGAGCGAGCAAACUAGCAUAGCAAAGAUAGUAGUGAUUUCGAGGGUAUGAUCAUCUUGCCUGAAAUCCCGCAAGGAAGAAGAACGAGUCCAUGAAGAAGACAAACGGACGUAGACGAACGAAUCCUCACAACACGACGUUAUCGGAACCAACCCGAAGAAGCAACACCGGAAAAGAGCAAACAACAUAGUAAACAACCACCACAAAAUCAUGGCAUGAUGCACAAUCAAGU